rnacentral:rRNA from 1 species
GUAAGGAAUAUUGGUCAAUGGGGGCAACCCUGAACCAGCCAUGCCGCGUGAAGGAUGAAGGCGUUAUGCGUUGUAAACUUCUUUUGUAUGGGAAGAAUGACAGGGAUUUAUCCUUGGAGAGACGGUACCAUACGAAUAAGCACCGGCUAACUACGUGCCAGCAGCCGCGGUAAUACGAAGGGUGCAAGCGUUAAUCGGAAUUACUGGGCGUAAAGCGCGCGUAGGUGGUUUUGUAAGUUGGAGGUGAAAUCCCCGGGCUCAACCUGGGAACUGCCUCCAAAACUGCAUGACUAGAGUACGGUAGAGGGUAGUGGAAUUUCCUGUGUAGCGGUGAAAUGCGUAGAUAUAGGAAGGAACACCAGUGGCGAAGGCGACUACCUGGACUGAUACUGACACUGAGGUGCGAAAGCGUGGGGAGCAAACAGGAUUAGAUACCCUAGUAGUCC